rnacentral:tRNA from 1 species
GACUGGAUAGCUUAGUGGUAAAGGCAUCACAUUGAAAAUGCUGAGGUCCCAGUUUCAAAUCCUGGUCUAGUCA